GACAGAGGUGCCAAGCGUUAGGCGGAAUCACUGGGCUUAAAGCGUGUGUAGGCGGCUCGUUAAGUACCUUGUGAAAUCCCACGGCUUAACCGUGGAACUGCUCGGUAUACUGGCGGUCUUGAGCAACCUAGGGGCGAGCGGAACAAAUGGUGGAGCGGUGAAAUGCGUAGAUAUCAUUUGGAACGCCAAUGGUGAAAACAGCUCGCUGGGGGUUUGCUGACGCUGAGACACGAAAGCCAGGGGAGCAAACGGG
rnacentral:rRNA from 1 species